UACGUUACAACAGACUGAGCAAAAGGAACGGACAAUACAACCCUCGAGGAAUUCCUUGCCGCAGAACCUCGUCUACCGAGUUCUUAGCCUGUUCGGAACCUCAACUUUUUAUUCCAAGUAUCGAAAAAAUAUUUCUGGCGUGGAUCGGUUGAAAUUAGUUUAACAGUUAUUUAAGCUGGAUCAAGUUGUUUGACUCAUCCUGCGUACAAGAAUUUUAAUAACGCAAUUGCAAGUGCCUCGAACGACGAGGUGUGAACGAGGAGUGUCUGAAACAGCCGACGGCAAAACGAGAGCUAACCCCGCGUGCUGAGCGUCAUCGUUCCGCGGUAGCAACGUCGUGAUUUACCUACUUAAAACGCGCAUUGGCUUGGUAAACUUCUUUAAUGCACAACGGCCACGUUGUCUUCGUGGCUGCGGCCAAUUAGCCGGGAAUCAUGUAGCGAGAAUCGCGGUGAGCGUGAACGGGAACGAGACGGCCGUCGGCUAAACAAACCAAGCAAGAGAGAGAUCGCACCGCACGUGAAUAAGAUCCAUUUACACCGAGACCUUAGGCGCAACCUUUGAGCACGCGCUACGGGGUUAUUCCCUCGUCCCACGAAGUUGGAUAGAAACCGCCGGGAUCGGUGUUUCAUCUACGCUCGCCACGCCCCCCUGUCCAAUUAUUUGCAGUAUUUCCGAUUAACGCUUUACGCGAUGCCCUCGAAACGAGUCCAUUUAGAAUGUACAUUUCCAUAUAUCUUUCGUGGAUAAUCGCAGAAAAUUCGACCGAGCGGCGUAAAUAUUUUCGUUGCUCGAAUCGCAAAGCGAAAAACCGAUUCUCACGGAAGUCGUUCGGGUGGAGGACACCGACGCGACUGAAACAGCUUCUUCGCGGACGGAGAGACGCAGAAGGAACUUCAAGGGGUGCAAGGGCAAUUGGUUACCUUUGACGGUCGUUCACAGAGAACAAUAGGACGAAUAACUGGAGGGUACCGAAAUUCUAGGUGUACACGUGUCCGUAGACCCCGACAACAGCUGGAAAUCCACACGGAAAUGAUCAGGGUCGACGGGUAGUCCGUGCACUUAACCUCAUGGCCACCAGAAAUCAAUCAAGUUCGAAAUCCGUUAUUGCACGUAUCAGUGGAUAGCGCCACGUCUAGGGAAGGGAGCAUUCCCUACUUUGGAAUAAUACCGAUAUAGACCACGAUCGGAAAACACGAUUUUCGAGGUGGCGGAUUAUUCUACGGGGCGAAACGGCCAGUGCUAGAUAAGGCAAUGAUCGAGAAACAGGUAUUGAAACGACAGCGAGAGAGCGCAUCGGUCAGCGCGAGAAAGAGAGCGGUAAGAGCGGCGGGGAACGAUACUGGACACUGCUAGACCCAUAUAAAGAAGAAGAACGAACCACUUAGAUCUCUCUUCGCCGUUGGUCCACGACUAACGCGACUGGAUACUGCGAGCUUUCCGUCGCUCACAGAACGUUCCAGCUAAAUGCACGCAGCGUAUUCGCCGAUUUUCGAUGGAUAAUAUUCGAAAAAAACUU